rnacentral:rRNA from 1 species
GGUCAGGAUUAACGCUGGCGGCGUGCCUAAUACAUGCAAGUCGAAUGGUAGCAAUACCAUGGCGAACGGGUGAGUAACACGUAGGUAACCUGUCUUUAAGACGAGGAUAACCGUUGGAAACGACGGAUAAUACUCGAUAGGUGAUUUUUAGGGCAUCCUAGGAUCAUUAAAGAUUUAUCACUUAGAGAGGGGCCUGCGGCGCAUUAGCUAGAUGGCGGGGUAAUAGCCCACCAUGGCGAUGAUGCGUAGCCGGACUGGGAGGUUGAACGGCCACAAUGGAACUGAGAACGGUCCAUACUCCUACGGGAGGCAGCAGUAGGGAAUUUUCGGCAAUGGGCGAAAGCCUGACCGAGCAACGCCGCGUGAACGAAGAAGUAUUUCGGUAUGUAAAGUUCUUUUAUUGGGGAAGAAAAAUAUCCAAAUUGACGGUACCCAAUGAAUAAGCUCCGGCUAACUACGUGCCAGCCGCCGC